rnacentral:rRNA from 1 species
GACGAACGCUGGCGGCGUGCUUAACACAUGCAAGUCGAACGGAAAGGCCCUGCUUUUGUGGGGUGCUCGAGUGGCGAACGGGUGAGUAACACGUGAGUAACCUGCCCUUGACUUUGGGAUAACUUCAGGAAACUGGGGCUAAUACCGGAUAGGAGCUCCUGCCGCAUGGUGGGGGUUGGAAAGUUUCGGCGGUUGGGGAUGGACUCGCGGCUUAUCAGCUUGUUGGUGGGGUAGUGGCUUACCAAGGCUUUGACGGGUAGCCGGCCUGAGAGGGUGACCGGCCACAUUGGGACUGAGAUACGGCCCAGACUCCUACGGGAGGCAGCAGUGGGGAAUAUCGCACAAUGGGCGGAAGCCUGAUGCAGCAACGCCGCGUGCGGGAUGACGGCCUUCGGGUUGUAAACCGCUUUCGCCUGUGACGAAGCGUGAGUGACGGUAAUGGGUAAAGAAGCACCGGCUAACUACGUG